rnacentral:rRNA from 1 species
AAAGAGCACGUCCCGCUGCCAGCCGGCCCCGUCCGCGGGGUCCGCGCGGGCAGCGACGUGACUCCCGUGUCGCGAAAGAGAUAAAAUACGAAAUGACUCUCGGCAACGGAUAUCUCGGCUCUCGCAUCGAUGAAGAACGUAGCGAAAUGCGAUACUUGGUGUGAAUUGCAGAAUCCCGUGAACCAUCGAGUCUUUGAACGCAAGUUGCGCCCGAGGCCACUAGGCCGAGGGCACGCCUGCCUGGGUGUCACGC